CCUCAAAUUUAAUGAUAAAUAUCAAAUUUACCCCUGUAACUCGAGAAUAUUAAUAGUUACACAAACAAAACAAAUAAGAAUUGGGCUACAGUUACAGCUAGUUGAAUCGCUUAACCGGAGAUUGUAAACUCUCGCCGUCACUAUUUAUAUAAAUGAAGAAGGGACUGCACCCUCAGUUGCAAUGGAUAUCCUAUGUAACCCAGAGUGGCAGACUGAUGCAUGUUACAAUGACAAAAAUACACCAUGUUGGCAAAGUGUACCAUUUUCGGGCAAGACGCCAAAUGGCUGAAAGUAUCGGACAGCUUGCUAAGUUUAAGCGUCGUUACGAGCAGCAGGAGAAUACUGAAAACAAUGAAAAAUGACAAAGCAGAAAUGCAGAGAGAAGUAAGGUAUUUGUGGCUAGAUUGAAUUCCUAUUUUCAGAAAUAAACCAAAACCUGGUGCUCUGAAGCACGUCAUUUGCUGCUUCAUGUGUGCUUAAAUUUUAAACCAAUUUCCAUGUUUAUUAAGUAGUGAGGCAACGCAGUUCGGAAUUUAUUUUGAAUUAUUGAAUCAAGGCACUAUGAUUUAUCAACAGUUUGUUUCAUAAAUCUUGAAAUGAAAUUGUUUAUCUGAUUAUUGCUUCUGGUUAUCA